GGCUUUCUCCUGAGCCGUCGGAGGGAGCCGGAGCGCUCCUCUUGAGUUGGUGAUCGACCAUUUGUGGUCCAGCAUGCACAAGUGAGUGGUGAAAGGCUGCAGAGCUGAUGGGUCGUGAGGAUGUAAGUGCGUUUGAAGGCUCUCACACUCUCUACUCCAGGGUAAGUUACAGGCCUUCUCUGCCAUUGUUGCUCUGGUUUUACUCUUAUCUUAAUGGUCUUUUGGAGUCCAUGCAAUUUGUGUGCCCUGUCUGAAAGUUCCCAAAGCCUUUAAUGAUUCAGCUCAUAGAUGCUAUUCAGAUUAGUACUUACAAAGAUAAAACCGUGGUCAGGGUAAUGGGAAGGAAUCAGUAUGUGGAAAUAUCUCAACACAAUAAUUUCACUUAGUGACUUUGUAUGAGAUGUGAUUUACAUGGGGGCUGUGGGGAGGAUGUUGGACCUUCCUGAGAUACACUGCAGAGCAUCCUCUCUCUCAGCACCCUCCCCCUCCAUGGAUCACUUUGCAUAACUUUUCCUGCAUUAAUUACCUUUUUUUCAGGUGUUGGGGGGGGGGAACAGCUUGCCAGAGAGUUGAUGAUUCCCAGUUUCACAGAUGAUAUAGCUAAGUACUAGCAAAGUUUUGCCCAGUGUCACUGGGAGUCACUUGUACCCGCUCCCCCACCUCUCUGCAGUCCCUAGUGCAAUGGUGGUGGGCACUGGGAGUAUUUUAAUGAAAGCUGGCUUUAUUUAUUUAUUUUUAUUUUAAAAAGUUUUUUUAGGGCCGUUCCUGAGGCAUAUGGAAGUUCCCAGGCUAGGAAUGAAUCUGAGCUGCAGCUGCCAGCCUGUACCACAGCCACAGCAACGCUAUAUCCAAGCCGUGGCGGUGUCUUACACCACAGCUCUUGGCAAGACUGGAAGGCUGGACCCUUAACCCACUGAGCAGGGUCAAGUAUUAAACCCAUAUCCUCAUAGGUAAUAGUCGGGUUUGUUAUUGCUAAGUCACAAUGGGAACUCCACCAAAGUUGGCUUUAGAUUUUAAUUUCUUCUAGAGCUUAAACUAAAACCAGAUUCAUUGAAGAGAAAAUUAUAAUUAAUAAAAAUCUAAGCAGAGCUAAGGAUGGUUAGAAAAGAGGGAAAAAGGAAGUUAUUUUUUAAAAAAGUACUCACCUGAAAAACUGGAUAGAUGGUUGUUUUAAGCAUUUCAGUUCAAUAGUGUGGAGCCCUUGCUAGAUAAUGUCCCAUUACCCAGGCUCAGACAGAGGGCACCCAGAAAGGCUGAUGUUCUUCAAUGCCUCAUAUGGAUCAGUAAGGAGCGAGUACAAUUUACUAAAUGAAAUAGACAAUUAAGGGCUAUAAAUCUCUGGAGAUUCCCGUAAGCAUACAUUGUUACUGCAUUGGGGGGAUGCACGUGCUUAGAGAUAAGCAAAGCAGAGGCAGUAGCUGCAAGGCUUGUCACAAAAUGAAGAGUCCAGGGGAACAGCCAGAUGCAGACCCCUGCCUAGUGCCUGGGGGUCACUAAGGAAAGGAUUUGGUCUUUGCUAAGCUUUCUCCUUAAAGGAAGGGAGCUAGAUGUUGCCAGCUUUCCUCAUUUUCUUCUGUGGCUCCCAUUUAUUUUCUAUUCUAAAAGUAACUAAAAAGUAUAACAUGCCAGAAAUAGCACUCAACUGGCAUGUUUCUGUUUAAAUACCAUUCAAUGAUCAAAUUAUAGAGGAACCCAUUCUUUAACUAGUGAUUAGAGGGCAAAGAAAGUAAUGCUAGAGAUGCCAGAGGAUCAGGGAUCCUUAUCCUCAGCACCAUUAACAUGCCAAGCCUGGUGAUUCUUUAUUGUGGGCUGUUCACACAUUGUAGCACAUCUUUGGCCUCUACCAGCUAGAUACUCCCCUUCCCCCACCCCAGAAUCGUGAUAAUCAAAAUGUCUCCAGAUACUGCCACUUGUUCCCUGGCCGGUGGGGGGCGGAAUUCUGGUUGAGAAGCACUGCUGGUGGCAUACAGUGAUUUAAUCUUGCUCUGAAUUUCUCUGGGACUGUUUCAAUCAUUAGCCUCCUUUUGCUACAAUUUCCCUACCUGUAAAAUAGACACAGCAUUUGUAACUCAGUAGCCUAAGGAGGUACAUAGUAUUGUGUGACUAUUUGGGAGCUCAUAAUGCCAAUACCUAUAUCCUAGUCUUGUGAAGACAGAGGCUGAGGAGCAGGGGAGUUGGAAGGGUGUGAGAAAUGCGGAAUGGUAUUGGAUUCUGAUUUUACUAGAAGGCUUCCAAUUCUAGUUCAUUUCAACAAUAUACUCUUGAACGAAGGCUUGUGGGGGAGGAUUAAGAAAGGGGACAAUAAAGGAGGGAAAAAGAGGCUAUUUAGAAGAGCAGUCAAGGAGAUUGCUUUUGAUCUGGAGGUGGGGGGUGAUCUCUUAUCGUUAAAGUGAUUUAUGUGUAAUUAGACCAAAGGACAUAAAGAAGUAACCCCCUUGCUCCAAAGAAAAAUAUUCUCCCAAAUGACUACUGAUCCUAGAACAGAUUUUUCAGGUAAUACAACAAAGACUGGAGAGUGUUGGAGAAAUCUGUUUUUAUUCUAGAACAUUUACAUUUCUGCUGCUUCUCUUCUUUGGCUUAUCAAAAAAGGUCAUCUUCAAUCCAUGCCCUUUGAUACAUACAAUGUUUGAGUAUGACACAUGCUCUUCUGAUACUCUUCUAGAACUCUGUAUUGGAAUGCUGAAAAAGGCCUAUCACCCUGACCCAGGCCUGAGGUGAUCACACUAUUUUACUAAGGCAGGGCAAGUGCAGGGAUUAGAUGUAAAUUGUCUUGGUAGGUUUGAAUUCAGCCUUGCUGUGUUUCUGGUCCCUGUAAUUAUUAGACAUACUCACAAAAUUUACAACAAUGCUACCUUGUUGACGCAGACUCAGUGGGUCCAACAUCAGAGGAAAUUCUGUUGGACAGCACUGCUUUAGUCUGUCAGGACCCUGUUUGUUAGAAACCCACCCUUGGAGUGCCAGCAUGUGUUUGUUAUGAAAAGACCUCACCUCAUUUAAAGCAGGAUUGUGUUUUGGACUUCUCCAUCCUAGGGGGCUUUUCAGUCUGUGAGUGGAUCUUGCUGAACUUUUUACCUUGCUGCGGCAUCUGUCUGUUAAAGAAAUUGCCAUGGGCCUGUGUUUCUGACAUAACUGAGUUCACUGUCUCUAAAAUAUUUGCUCUUUAAUCCAAGGCUGCUGAACCGUCUCUUUCCAUUUGGUCUCUCCAUGCCCUAACCCUCAGUGGCAAAGCUUGUUUGUGCAGGAUGUCUCUUUUGAUACUGCCUAGAGCUUCAGCGUCUGGGAGAGGUGGUGAGAGAGUUUUCACCUCCUCUUCUUUCAAGCCCC
rnacentral:lncRNA from 1 species